GACAGAGGGUGCAAACGUUGUUCGGAUUUACUGGGCGUAAAGCGCGUGUAGGCGGCUUUGCAAGUCGGAUGUGAAAGCCCACGGCUCAACCGUGGAAGUGCAUCCGAAACUGCAUGGCUGGAGUCUCGGAGAGGAAGGUGGAAUGCUUGGUGUAGAGGUGAAAUUCGUAGAUAUCAAGCAGAACACCUGCGGCGAAGGCGGAUCUCUGGGCCGUAACUGACGCUGAGGAGCGAAAGCAUGGGGAGCGAACAGG
rnacentral:rRNA from 1 species